GGAAGGAUCAUUACAGGUAAAAUAUUACCACAAAAAACUUUUUAAUACACAAAGCAUUAAUUACCCGUCAACGUUUUCUCCUGGAAGCUUAAAACGUUGAAAAAACGCAAAUACACAAACAACAACACCUAUACUGGUUCACCGAGUCCAGGAUAAAAAUCGAUUGAUAAAAAAAUAAACUUUUAGUUUACCGAAGACUUUGACCGCAUCAACCCGGUUCAAUUUUUUCAAAAAUUACAAUUGCCGUCAGUGGAUAUCUCGGCUAUCAGGUCGAUGAAGAGCGCAGCGAAAUGCGUUACCUAGUGUGACAUGCAUACACUCGUGAAUCACCGACAUCUUGAACGUAACUGACAGAGCUUGCGUAAGCGAGCUUUAAUCACGACCGAGUGCCAACAUUACACCACAAAUAUUGAGCGCAUCGUCUUCUACCCAAAGAGGGUAAAAAAUCUUUUUUUUUUACCUGUUCUUGUAGUGCAAGAAGACGUCGCUUUAAAUCAAACCGUUGUUCACAAAAUCAUUAUCGGACAUAAAUUUUUAUUUUUUGACCAGUAAAUACCUUGUGACCGGGAUCCUAACCUCGUAAUUUACGGGGGAUUUUAUAACCGAGAUUAAAAAACUCGGUCAUAUUUGACCUCGAUCGUGAUAGACUACCCGCUGAAUUUAAGCAUAUCAAUAAGCGGAGGAAAAGAAAAUAACAAUGAUUCCCUGAGUAACUGCGAGUGAAACGGGAGAAGCGCAUCCUGAAUCCGAUGGUUUUUUUUUUUUAACUAUUGGAGUUGUGGGGUAGUGAACGUAACCAGGAGAGGGAGCUGAAUGAACUUAUCUGGAACGGUAGACCACAGAGGGUUACAGUCCCGUAAUUCGGAUGACUUCUCCGUACGGUUAUGAUUCCGCGAGUCGCGUUGCCUGAGAUCGCAACGCUAACCGGGGGUAUGUUUCCCCGAACGCUAAAUAUUACUGAUAGACCGAUAGCGAACAAGUACCGUGAGGGAAAGGUCAAAAGAACUCUGAAAAGAGAGUUAAAAGAACUUGAAACUGACGUCAAGGAAGCGGUUCGGAAACUUGCGUUGGACCAUUUGAUUCCCGGUGAAUUUAUUUUGAUUUGGUCAUAUCCGUAUGAAGAAUUAGCUCGUCGGAUAUCUAAAUCGGGGUAAUUUUGCUGGUACUUCAAGUACCAACACCCGCAAUACCGGUGAUUGACCCAAAUAUACUGUUUCAGUACUUCUGUUGGAGACAACAAGGGAAAAAAUGGAUUAAUCAGGUCAAGCGCUGAUGGAAAAGUAGCGAAGGCCUUUAAUGGUAAUCUUAUGCAGUGACUUGCGUGUACUAUUGGAGCGACUCUUUAGAGACAAUUCUUAGUGCGCGUAACAUAAUUGUUACGGAUAACUUCGUUAUCGGACAAAGUAUCCUAACCGACCCGUCUUGAAACACGGACCAAGGAGUCCAACACCUAUGCGAGUGAAUCAGUAAUUAAACUGAUACGCGAAAUGAAAGUAAUUCGGUGAAACCCUUAAAAAAGGUGGCAACCGAUACCGACACGAUUAUUUAUAAACGAGUUUGAGUAUGAGCAUAGGUGUUGGGACCCGAAAGAUAGUGAACUAUACCCGGGCAGAGUGAAGCCAGAAGAAAUUCUGGUGGAAGCUCGUAGAGAUACUGACGUGCAAAUCGUUCUCGGGAUCCAGGUAUAGCGGCGAAAGACUAAUCGAACUGUCUAGUAGCUGGUUUCCGC
rnacentral:misc_RNA from 1 species